UUUGAGGUCUAUGCUAAAGGGGCUUUUUCUGUAGCUGCACAGCCUUGGAAAUGCCUCACAGAGUAACUCUGUGCUCUGUGGUUUCGCUCUAUUCACAGGAUGAUCUGUCAGGUCUGUGGGGAGGAAAUACAAGACAGAU